rnacentral:rRNA from 1 species
UACGUAGGUCCCGAGCGUUGUCCGGAUUUAUUGGGCGUAAAGGGAGCGCAGGCGGCGCGCCAAGUCUGAUGUGAAACCCCGGGGCUCAACCCCGGGCAUGCAUUGGAAACUGGCGGGCUGGAGUGCCGGAGAGGUAAGCGGAAUUCCUAGUGUAGCGGUGAAAUGCGUAGAUAUUAGGAGGAACACCAGUGGCGAAGGCGGCUUACUGGGCGGCAACUGACGCUGAGGCUCGAAAGCGUGGGGAGCAAACAGG